GAUGAACGCUGGCGGCGUGCCUAAUACAUGCAAGUCGAGCGAAUGGAUUAAGAGCUUGCUCUUAUGAAGUUAGCGGCGGACGGGUGAGUAACACGUGGGUAACCUGCCCAUAAGACUGGGAUAGCUCCGGGAAACCGGGGCUAAUACCGGAUAACAUUUUGAACCGCAUGGUUCGAAAUUGAAAGGCGGCUUCGGCUGUCACUUAUGGAUGGACCCGCGUCGCAUUAGCUAGUUGGUGAGGUAACGGCUCACCAAGGCAACGAUGCGUAGCCGACCUGAGAGGGUGAUCGGCCACACUGGGACUGAGACACGGCCCAGACUCCUACGGGAGGCAGCAGUAGGGAAUCUUCCGCAAUGGACGAAAGUCUGACGGAGCAACGCCGCGUGAGUGAUGCAGGCUUUCGGGUCGUAAAACUCUGUUGUUAGGGAAGAACAAGUGCUAGUUGAAUAAGCUGGCACCUUGACGGUACCUAACCAGAAAGCCACGGCUAACUACGUGCCAGCAGCCGCAGUAA
rnacentral:rRNA from 1 species